GAUGAAGAACGCAGCGAAAUGCGAUAAGUAAUGUGAAUUGCAGAAUUCAGUGAAUCAUCGAAUCUUUGAACGCACAUUGCGCCCGCCAGUAUUCUGGCGGGCAUGCCUGUCCGAGCGUCAUUUCAACCAUCAAGCCCCGGGCUUGUGUUGGGGACCUGCGUCCGACGCAGGCCCUGAAAACCAGUGGCGGGCUCGCUGUCCACACCGAGCGUAGUAACUAACCUCGCUAUGGAGUGGCGCGGGCGCCUGCCGUAAAACCCCCCAUUUCACAAGGUUGACCUCGGAUCAGGUAGGAAUACCAGCUGAACUUACGCAUAUCAAUAAGCGGAGGA
rnacentral:misc_RNA from 1 species